rnacentral:rRNA from 1 species
GGGUUGUGAGGUUAAGCGACUAAGCGUACACGGUGGAUGCCCUGGCAGUCAGAGGCGAUGAAGGACGUGCUAAUCUGCGAUAAGCGUCGGUGAGGUGAUAUGAACCGUUAUAACCGGCGAUUUCCGAAUGGGGAAACCCAGUGUGUUUCGACACACUAUCAUUAACUGAAUCCAUAGGUUAAUGAGGCGAACCGGGGGAACUGAAACAUCUAAGUACCCCGAGGAAAAGAAAUCAACCGAGAUUCCCCCAGUAGCGGCGAGCGAACGGGGAGGAGCCCAGAGCCUGAAUCAGUGUGUGUGUUAGUGGAAGCGUCUGGAAAGGCGCGCGAUACAGGGUGACAGCCCCGUACACAAAAAUGCACAUAUUGUGAGCUCGAUGAGUAGGGCGGGACACGUGGUAUCCUGUCUGAAUAUGGGGGGACCAUCCUCCAAGGCUAAAUACUCCUGACUGACCGAUAGUGAACCAGUACCGUGAGGGAAAGGCGAAAAGAACCCCGGCGAGGGGAGUGAAAAAGAACCUGAAACCGUGUACGUACAAGCAGUGGGAGCCUCUUAAUGGGGUGACUGCGUACCUUUUGUAUAAUGGGUCAGCGACUUAUAUUCUGUAGCAAGGUUAACCGAAUAGGGGAGCCGAAGGGAAACCGAGUCUUAACUGGGCGUUAAGUUGCAGGGUAUAGACCCGAAACCCGGUGAUCUAGCCAUGGGCAGGUUGAAGGUUGGGUAACACUAACUGGAGGACCGAACCGACUAAUGUUGAAAAAUUAGCGGAUGACUUGUGGCUGGGGGUGAAAGGCCAAUCAAACCGGGAGAUAGCUGGUUCUCCCCGAAAGCUAUUUAGGUAGCGCCUCGUGAAUUCAUCUCCGGGGGUAGAGCACUGUUUCGGCAAGGGGGUCAUCCCGACUUACCAACCCGAUGCAAACUGCGAAUACCGGAGAAUGUUAUCACGGGAGACACACGGCGGGUGCUAACGUCCGUCGUGAAGAGGGAAACAACCCAGACCGCCAGCUAAGGUCCCAAAGUCAUGGUUAAGUGGGAAACGAUGUGGGAAGGCCCAGACAGCCAGGAUGUUGGCUUAGAAGCAGCCAUCAUUUAAAGAAAGCGUAAUAGCUCACUGGUCGAGUCGGCCUGCGCGGAAGAUGUAACGGGGCUAAACCAUGCACCGAAGCUGCGGCAGCGACACUAUGUGUUGUUGGGUAGGGGAGCGUUCUGUAAGCCUGUGAAGGUGUACUGUGAGGUAUGCUGGAGGUAUCAGAAGUGCGAAUGCUGACAUAAGUAACGAUAAAGCGGGUGAAAAGCCCGCUCGCCGGAAGACCAAGGGUUCCUGUCCAACGUUAAUCGGGGCAGGGUGAGUCGACCCCUAAGGCGAGGCCGAAAGGCGUAGUCGAUGGGAAACAGGUUAAUAUUCCUGUACUUGGUGUUACUGCGAAGGGGGGACGGAGAAGGCUAUGUUGGCCGGGCGACGGUUGUCCCGGUUUAAGCGUGUAGGCUGGUUUUCCAGGCAAAUCCGGAAAAUCAAGGCUGAGGCGUGAUGACGAGGCACUACGGUGCUGAAGCGACAAAUGCCCUGCUUCCAGGAAAAGCCUCUAAGCAUCAGGUAACAUCAAAUCGUACCCCAAACCGACACAGGUGGUCAGGUAGAGAAUACCAAGGCGCUUGAGAGAACUCGGGUGAAGGAACUAGGCAAAAUGGUGCCGUAACUUCGGGAGAAGGCACGCUGAUAUGUAGGUGAAGCGACUUGCUCGUGGAGCUGAAAUCAGUCGAAGAUACCAGCUGGCUGCAACUGUUUAUUAAAAACACAGCACUGUGCAAACACGAAAGUGGACGUAUACGGUGUGACGCCUGCCCGGUGCCGGAAGGUUAAUUGAUGGGGUUAGCGGUAACGCGAAGCUCUUGAUCGAAGCCCCGGUAAACGGCGGCCGUAACUAUAACGGUCCUAAGGUAGCGAAAUUCCUUGUCGGGUAAGUUCCGACCUGCACGAAUGGCGUAAUGAUGGCCAGGCUGUCUCCACCCGAGACUCAGUGAAAUUGAACUCGCUGUGAAGAUGCAGUGUACCCGCGGCAAGACGGAAAGACCCCGUGAACCUUUACUAUAGCUUGACACUGAACAUUGAGCCUUGAUGUGUAGGAUAGGUGGGAGGCUUUGAAGUGUGGACGCCAGUCUGCAUGGAGCCGACCUUGAAAUACCACCCUUUAAUGUUUGAUGUUCUAACGUGGGCCCCUUACCGGGGUUGCGGACAGUGUCUGGUGGGUAGUUUGACUGGGGCGGUCUCCUCCUAAAGAGUAACGGAGGAGCACGAAGGUUGGCUAAUCCUGGUCGGACAUCAGGAGGUUAGUGCAAUGGCAUAAGCCAGCUUGACUGCGAGCGUGACGGCGCGAGCAGGUGCGAAAGCAGGUCAUAGUGAUCCGGUGGUUCUGAAUGGAAGGGCCAUCGCUCAACGGAUAAAAGGUACUCCGGGGAUAACAGGCUGAUACCGCCCAAGAGUUCAUAUCGACGGCGGUGUUUGGCACCUCGAUGUCGGCUCAUCACAUCCUGGGGCUGAAGUAGGUCCCAAGGGUAUGGCUGUUCGCCAUUUAAAGUGGUACGCGAGCUGGGUUUAGAACGUCGUGAGACAGUUCGGUCCCUAUCUGCCGUGGGCGCUGGAGAACUGAGGGGGGCUGCUCCUAGUACGAGAGGACCGGAGUGGACGCAUCACUGGUGUUCGGGUUGUCAUGCCAAUGGCACUGCCCAGUAGCUAAAUGCGGAAGAGAUAAGUGCUGAAAGCAUCUAAGCACGAAACUUGCCCCGAGAUGAGUUCUCCCUGACUCCUUGAGAGUCCUGAAGGAACGUUGAAGACGACGACGUUGAUAGGCCGGGUGUGUAAGCGCAGCGAUGCGUUGAGCUAACCGGUACUAAUGAACCGUGAGGCUUAACCUUACAACGCCGAAG